GACGAAGGUGGCAACCGUUGUUCGGAAUUACUGGGCAUAAAGAGCACGUAGGCGGACUACUAAGUCGGGUGUGAAAUCCCUCGGCCCAACCGAGGAACUGCGCCCGAUACUGGUAGUCUUGAGGACAGGAGGGGAGCGUGGAAUUCCUGGUGGAGCGGUGAAAUGCGUUGAUAUCAGGAGGAACACCGGCGGCGAAGGCGACGCUCUGGCCUGUUUCUGACGCUGAGGUGCGAAAGCUAGGGGAGCAAACGGG
rnacentral:rRNA from 1 species